UUGGAGGGCAAGUCUGGUGCCAGCAGCCGCGGUAAUUCCAGCUCCAAUAGCGUAUAUUAAAGUUGCUGCAGUUAAAAAGCUCGUAGUUGAAUUUCGGGACCAUCAUGUCGGUCGUGCCUAGGUACGUACUGGUAUUGUUGGUUUCUCCCUUCUGACGAACCAUGAUGUCAUUUAUUUGGUGUUGUGGGGAAUCAGGACUGUUACUUUGAAAAAAUUAGAGUGUUUAAAGCAGGCUCACGCUUGAAUACAUUAGCAUGGAAUAAUGAAAUAGGACGUUUGAUUCUAUUUUGUUGGUUUCUAGGAUCGACGUAAUGAUUAAUAGGGAUAGUUGGGGGCAUUAGUAUUCAAUUGUCAGAGGUGAAAUUCUUGGAUUUAUUGAAGACUAACUACUGCGAAAGCAUUUGCCAAGGAUGUUUUCAUUAAUCAAGAACGAAAGUUAGGGGAUCGAAGACGAUCAGAUACCGUCGUAGUCUUAACCAUAAACUAUGCCGACUAGGGAUCGGAUGAUGUUAAUUUUUUAAUGACUCAUUCGGCGCCUUACGGGAAAC
rnacentral:rRNA from 1 species